rnacentral:lncRNA from 1 species
GUCACUUUUCUCAGUUGUAAAGUAAGGGGCUCUGAUCUCCAACCCUCUCCACUGGAAUGUAAGGGGACAAUGAGAUAAUGUUUCUGGAGCCCUUGAAGCCACUUAGCCUAAGGAUGCUGUACAGAGGCUGAAGUGUCUGUAGAAAUGCAGAUAGAUACACAGUGAAAUUAACAAAUGGGAAGCCUGGAAGAAGAGGUGGGACUUUUCCUGCAGGAGGUACAGAGCGUCAGCUUUGUGACGUGACAGUGAAACCAAGUUCUCCACUGGGGAAGCGGGGGCCCUGAAACAUCACUUCUCCUCUGAAGUGGCUGGAAAAGUGGGGUGCCAGAAGCGAAGGUGGGAUCUGUGUGCUCUAAAUUGGAUUUAUGCUGCUCUGGUAGAAUGAAGACGGCACUCUAUUUGAAGAUUUUUUUUUAAUAUGACAUCCUGGGCGUGAAAUAAAGAUACUGUACUCUAUACAGUACUGUAUAGUACAGGACAGAGAAACAGCCACAUGUGGAGGAUCCAUGUGCGUGACAACGUGUGCCGGACACGUGAACUAACUUAUGUGACUGGACAUGCGAAUGCACACUCACAUCUUUCAAAGUUCGCAAAUUGAAGAACUCAUUGUCCAGAACUGGAAUUAGUUACCAGGCCUCAUCUAAGCACAAGAGAAGCAGCUCGUACAUUCUGCCAGGUAGUACCAUUCUACUAGGGACCCAGAAGGGACUUCGAGGAGGACAGAAACAUCUAAAGAGCAGCAGUAGUGGCUGUCACAUCUUGAAAAGCACAUGA